ACUGAGAAUAGCGUCACGUCUUUACACGUUCCGUUGUUCUGGUGUGCUAUCAUUCUCAGACAUAAACUUCUGGUCCUCAUUCACUGGCUGAGAUACCUCAUAUCUCAGUCAGCUACCAAAUCAGAGACAGUA
rfam:Colinus virginianus strain Texas jcf7180006227004, whole genome shotgun sequence.